rnacentral:rRNA from 1 species
UUAGUAACGGCGAGUGAAGCGGUAACAGCUCAAAUUUGAAAUCUGGCUCCCUGCGGAGUCCGAGUUGUAAUUUGUAGAAGAUGCUUUGGGUGCUCGGCCCGGUCUAAGUUCCUUGGAACAGGACGUCGUAGAGGGUGAGAAUCCCGUAUGCGGCCGGGGUGGGUGCUCGUGUAAAGCUCUUUCGACGAGUCGAGUUGUUUGGGAAUGCAGCUCAAAAUGGGUGGUAAAUUUCAUCUAAAGCUAAAUAUGGGCCAGAGACCGAUAGCGCACAAGUAGAGUGAUCGAAAGAUGAAAAGCACUUUGGAAAGAGAGUUAAACAGUACGUGAAAUUGUUGAAAGGGAAGCGCUUGCAACCAGACUUGGGCGUCGCUGAUCAUCCAAAGUUUUCUUUGGUGCACUCGACGACGUACAGGCCAGCAUCGGUUGGGGUGGUGGGAGAAAGGUUGUAGGAACGUAGCUCUUUUCGGGGAGUGUUAUAGCCUGCGACGCAAUGCCGCCUACCCUGACCGAGGACCGCGCUUCGGCUAGGAUGCUGGCGUAAUGGUUGUAAGCGACCCGUCUUGAAACACGGACCAAGGAGUCUAACAUCUAUGCGAGUGUUUGGGUGCGAAACCCAUGCGCGAAAUGAAAGUGAACGUAGGUGAGAACCCUUCGAGGGGGCAUCAUCGACCGAUCCUGAUGUCUUCGGAUGGAUUUGAGUAAGAGCAUAGCUGUUGGGACCAAAA